AAGGCUUUAAGUUAAUUAAACUAAUAGUCUUCAAAAUUAUAAAUAAAGAGUUAUCUUUAAGCCUUA
rnacentral:tRNA from 2 species